AACGAACGCUGGCGGCAGGCCUAACACAUGCAAGUCGAACGAAGUCUUCGGACUUAGUGGCGCACGGGUGAGUAACACGUGGGAAUAUACCUUACGCUGGGGGAUAACAUCGGGAAACUGAUGCUAAUACCGCAUACGCCCCUCGGGGGAAAGAUUUAUCGGCGAAAGAUUAGCCCGCGUCCGAUUAGCUAGUUGGUGAGGUAAUGGCUCACCAAGGCUCCGAUCGGUAGCUGGUCUGAGAGGAUGACCAGCCACACUGGGACUGAGACACGGCCCAGACUCCUACGGGAGGCAGCAGUGGGGAAUAUUGGACAAUGGGCGCAAGCCUGAUCCAGCCAUGCCGCGUGAGUGAUGAAGGCCUUAGGGUUGUAAAGCUCUUUCACCCACGACGAUGAUGACGGUAGUGGGAGAAGAAGCCCCGGCUAACUUCGUG
rnacentral:rRNA from 1 species